rnacentral:misc_RNA from 1 species
GUGAAUCAUCAAAUUUUUGAACGCAAAUUGCGCUUUCUGGCAUCCCGGGAAGUAUGCCUGUUUGAGGGUCAGUAUUAUUAAAAACUCGGUUUAGUUUCAAAUUGUCACGUUUCCGGAGUUUGUGCUAUCUUAACGUUUUGGGUUAAGAGGCUUAAAAUUGACCUUUUUGGCGCAUGUUUAAACGUACAUAUAUUUUUUUUAUUCGUCU